AGUCGAGCGGCAGCGGGAAGUAGCUUGCUACUUUGCCGGCGAGCGGCGGACGGGUGAGUAAUGUCUGGGAAACUGCCUGAUGGAGGGGGAUAACUACUGGAAACGGUAGCUAAUACCGCAUGACCUCGCAAGAGCAAAGUGGGGGACCUUCGGGCCUCACGCCAUCGGAUGUGCCCAGAUGGGAUUAGCUAGUAGGUGAGGUAAUGGCUCACCUAGGCGACGAUCCCUAGCUGGUCUGAGAGGAUGACCAGCCACACUGGAACUGAGACACGGUCCAGACUCCUACGGGAGGCAGCAGUGGGGAAUAUUGCACAAUGGGCGCAAGCCUGAUGCAGCCAUGCCGCGUGUGUGAAGAAGGCCUUAGGGUUGUAAAGCACUUUCAGCGAGGAGGAAGGGUUCAGUGUUAAUAGCACUGUUCAUUGACGUUACUCGCAGAAGAAGCACCGGCUAACUCCGUGCCAGCAGCCGCGGUAAUACGGAGGGUGCAAGCGUUAAUCGGAAUUACUGGGCGUAAAGCGCACGCAGGCGGUUUGUUAAGUCAGAUGUGAAAUCCCCGAGCUUAACUUGGGAACUGCAUUUGAAACUGGCAAGCUAGAGUCUUGUAGAGGGGGGUAGAAUUCCAGGUGUAGCGGUGAAAUGCGUAGAGAUCUGGAGGAAUACCGGUGGCGAAGGCGGCCCCCUGGACAAAGACUGACGCUCAGGU
rnacentral:rRNA from 1 species